GAAGCUUAGAAGUUCUUAAUGCUCUGUAAUAUAAGUAGCCAUGUUUGAACACGAUGUUCAAACAAGCCGCCAUUGAGCCAAGGAUGGCGAAUUGGCGGCGGUGGCGUAUUGAUAGGUAUGUAAAUCAGAGCAUUUAGAACUUCUUAGUUUCGA
rnacentral:ncRNA from 1 species